GUGUUAUUAGGAGUUCCCUAAAAGCACUUCACACGAGGCCUUGGCUUAAGGGUUCUUGUGAAGUAUUUGGGGGAACUCUCGGUGUCAC
rnacentral:pre_miRNA from 1 species